rnacentral:rRNA from 3 species
UACGGAGGGUGCAAGCGUUAAUCGGAAUUACUGGGCGUAAAGCGUGCGUAGGCGGCUCGUUAAGUCAGAUGUGAAAGCCCUGGGCUCAACCUGGGAACUGCAUUUGAAACUGGCGAGCUAGAGUUUGAGAGAGGUAAGUGGAAUUUCAGGUGUAGCGGUGAAAUGCGUAGAGAUCUGAAGGAACACCAGUGGCGAAGGCGACUUACUGGCUUAAAACUGACGCUGAGGUACGAAAGCGUGGGUAGCAAACAGG